UCGAAGUAUAUGGCGUUGAGCCAAACACUCUGACCAAAUACUUUUUCGGCGCUGUGAAUCGAGAAUCAAUUUAUUGAAAGGCAGAAAAAAAUAGACGGCAAGCUACUGUCGAAGCUGCAUCUCGAUCCACCUUGAUAGAAUGGACACCUUCCCAGCAAUAAACCUGAAGAAGAGAGAUAAUAAGACAAAAAACUUUCACAAUAAUUGAAACAGCGAGAUGCUACUUCAAUAUUUAUAAAUACCUAGCAAAACAAUUAUAUAAAUUUAAAAAAAAUUUUCCUUCCCAGUUCUUGACUUGUGCAAUCUUCAUGACAAUUUUACUUUUUAGAAAGCAAUGUUUAGAAAGUUACAAAUGAAUGUUAAAUUGUUUUAAUAGACAAGAAAAGAUUUAAUGAAUUUAUUGACAAAUGAAAUAAUUAGCUAUAAAUGUAGACAACUUGGACAACUUCAAAAUACGAAAUAGAAAAUCACGUUUAACAAAUUUUCUCGCAAAAAAAAA